rnacentral:rRNA from 1 species
AGAGUUUGAUCAUGGCUCAGAACGUACGCUGGCGGCACGCCUAACACAUGCAAGUCGAACGAAGUAGCAAUACUUAGUGGCAGACGGGUGAGUAACAUGUAGGUAUCUGCCCUUUGGCCUGGAAUAACACGAGGAAACUUGUGCUAAUACCGGAUAAGUCUUUACGGAGAAAGCUUUAUGCACCAUUGGAUGAGCCUGCACUUGAUUAGUUUGUUGGUGGGGUAAUGGCCUACCAAGACUGUGAUCAAUAGCUGAUUUGAGAGGAUGAUCAGCCACAUUGGGACUGAGACACGGCCCAAACUCCUACGGGAGGCAGCAGUGGGGAAUCUUGCACAAUGGAGGAAACUCUGAUGCAGCGAUGCCGCGUGAGUGAAGAAGGCCUUUGGGUUGUAAAGCUCUUUCGUCGGGGAAGAAAAUGACUGUACCCGAAUAAGAAGGUCCGGCUAACUUCGUGCCAGCAGCCGCGGUAAUACGAAGGGACCUAGCGUAGUUCGGAAUUACUGGGCUUAAAGAGUUCGUAGGUGGUUGAAAAAGUUGGUGGUGAAAUCCCAGAGCUUAACUCUGGAACUGCCAUCAAAACUUUUCAGCUAGAGUUUGAUAGAGGAAAGCAGAAUUUCUAGUGUAGAGGUGAAAUUCGUAGAUAUUAGAAAGAAUACCAAUUGCGAAGGCAGCUUUCUGGAUCAUUACUGACACUGAGGAACGAAAGCAUGGGUAGCGAAGAGGAUUAGAUACCCUCGUAGUCCAUGCCGUAAACGAUGUGUGUUAGACGUUGGAAAUUUAUUUUCAGUGUCGCAGCGAAAGCGAUAAACACACCGCCUGGGGAGUACGACCGCAAGGUUAAAACUCAAAUGAAUUGACGGGGACCCGCACAAGUAGUGGAGCAUGUGGUUUAAUUCGAAGAUACGCGCAGAACCUUACCAACACUUGACAUGUUCGUCGCGACUUUAAGAGAUUAAAGUUUUCGGUUCGGCCGGACGAAACACAGGUGCUGCAUGGCUGUCGUCAGCUCGUGUCGUGAGAUGUUGGGUUAAGUCCCGCAACGAGCGCAACCCUCACUUUUAGUUGCCAUCAUUUAGUUGGGCACUCUGAAAGAACUGCCAGUGAUAAGCUGGAGGAAGGUGGGGAUGACGUCAAGUCCUCAUGGCCCUUACGUGUUGGGCUACACACGUGCUACAAUGGUAUCUACAACAGGAAGCGAAACAGCGAUGUUAAGCAAAUCCUUAAAAGAUACCUCAGUUCGGAUUGCACUCUGCAACUCGAGUGCAUGAAGCUGGAAUUACUAGUAAUCGUGGAUCAGCGUGCCACGGUGAAUGCGUUCCCGGGUCUUGUACACACCGCCCGUCACACCAUGGGAGUUGGUUCUACCUUAAGGCAAGGUUUAAUACCCUUGACCACGGUAUAGUCAGCGACUGGGGUGAAGUCGUAACAAGGUAACCGUA